rnacentral:rRNA from 1 species
UACGGAGGGUGCAAGCGUUGUCCGGAUUCAUUGGGUUUAAAGGGUGCGCAGGCGGGCCAUUAAGUCAGGGGUGAAAGACGGUUGCUCAACAAUCGCAGUGCCUUUGAUACUGGUGGUCUUGGGUGACGGUGAGGUAGGCGGAAUGGGUGGUGUAGCGGUGAAAUGCAUAGAUACCACCCAGAACUCCGAUUGCGAAGGCAGCCUACUGGUCGUUAACCGACGCUCAGGCACGAAAGCGUGGGGAUCAAACAGG